rnacentral:rRNA from 1 species
AGUGAACGCUGGCGGUAGGCCUAACACAUGCAAGUCGAACGGCAGCACAGUAAGAGCUUGCUCUUACGGGUGGCGAGUGGCGGACGGGUGAGGAAUACAUCGGAAUCUACUUUUUCGUGGGGGACAACGGAGGGAAACUUACGCUAAUACCGCAUACGACCUACGGGUGAAAGCAGGGGAUCUUCGGACCUUGCGCGUUUGAUUGAGCCGAUGUCGGAUUAGCUAGUUGGCGGGGUAAAGGCCCACCAAGGCGACGAUCCGUAGCUGGUCUGAGAGGAUGAUCAGCCACACUGGAACUGAGACACGGUCCAGACUCCUACGGGAGGCAGCAGUGGGGAAUAUUGGACAAUGGGCGCAAGCCUGAUCCAGCCAUACCGCGUGGGUGAAGAAGGCCUUCGGGUUGUAAAGCCCUUUUGUUGGGAAAGAAAAGCAGCAGGUUAAUACCCCGCUGUUCUGACGGUACCCAAAGAAUAAGCCCCGGCUAACUUCGUG